AGUGAACGCUGGCGGCGUGCUUAACACAUGCAAGUCGAACGCGAAAGGGUAGCAAAUACCCGAGUAGAGUGGCGAACGGGUGAGUAAUAUGUGGGUAAUCUGCCUUGGAGAGUGGGAUAACCUGGCGAAAGCCGGGCUAAUACCGCAUGAAGUUUGGUGAUUUUCGGAUGAUCAAACGAAAGGAUGGGCCUCUAUUUAUAAGCUAUCGCUUCAAGGAGGAGCCUCACACCCUAUCACGCUUGUUGGUGAGGUAAAGGCUCACCAAGGCGACGACGGGUAG
rnacentral:rRNA from 1 species